rnacentral:rRNA from 1 species
AGAGUUUGAUCCUGGCUCAGGACGAACGCUGGCGGCGUGCUUCAUACAUGCAAGUCGAACGCGAAUCGGUAGCUUGCUACCGAGGAAAGUGGCGGACGGGUGAGUAAUAUGUAGAGAAUCUGCCCUAGAGAGGGGGACAACAGCUGGAAACGGUUGCUAAUACCCCAUAUGAGCGUACCUGAAAUGGUAUUCUUGAAAACUCCGGUGCUCUAGGAUGAGUCUGCAUCUGAUUAGCUAGUUGGGGGUGUAAUGGACCACCAAGGCGACGAUCAGUAGCUGGUUUGAGAGGAUGAUCAGCCACAAUGGGACUGAGACACGGCCCAUACUCCUACGGGAGGCAGCAGUAGGGAAUUUUGCGCAAUGGGCGAAAGCCUGACGCAGCAACGCCGCGUGAUUGAUAAAGCCCUUCGGGGUGUAAAGAUCUGUCAGUGGGGACGAAACUUGACGGUACCCACAGAGGAAGCACCGGCUAACUCCGUGCCAGCAGCCGCGGUAAUACGGAGGGUGCAAGCGUUGUCCGGAAUCAUUGGGCGUAAAGAGUUCGUAGGUGGUUUGUUAAGUUUGGUGUUAAAUGCAGAGGCUCAACUUCUGUUCGGCAUCGGAUACUGGCAGACUAGAAUGCGGUAGAGGUAAAGGGAAUUCCUGGUGUAGCGGUGAAAUGCGUAGAUAUCAGGAGGAACAUCGGUGGCGUAAGCGCUUUACUGGGCCGUAAUUGACACUGAGGAACGAAAGCCAGGGUAGCAAAUGGGAUUAGAUACCCCAGUAGUCCUGGCCGUAAACGAUGGAUACUAGGUGUUGCGGGUAUCGACCCCUGCAGUGCCGU